rnacentral:rRNA from 1 species
UACGGGGGGGGCAAGCGUUGUCCGGAAUCACUGGGCGUAAAGGGCGCGUAGGCGGCCUGAUAAGUAGGGGGUGAAAUCUUGCGGCUUAACCGCAAGGCUGCCUUCUAAACUGUCAGGCUAGAGCACAGUAGAGGCAGGUGGAAUUCCCGGUGUAGCGGCGGAAUGCGUAGAGAUCGGGAAGAACAUCAGUGGCGAAGGCGGCCUGCUGGGCUGUUGCUGACGCUGAGGCGCGACAGCGUGGGGAGCAAACAGG